GGAGGGUUGGCCGAGUGGUUUAUGGCGCAAGUCUUGAAAACUUGUGGGCGAAAGCCCUCAGAGGUUCGAAUCCUCUCCCCUCCG
rnacentral:tRNA from 1 species